rnacentral:tRNA from 1 species
GGAGGGGUGGCCGAGUGGCUGAAGGCGCACGCUUGGAAAGCGUGUAAACGGGUAACCGUUUCGAGGGUUCGAAUCCCUCUCCCUCCGCCA